UACGUAGGGUGCGAGCGUUAAUCGGAAUUACUGGGCGUAAAGCGUGCGCAGGCGGUUCGUUGUGUCGGCGGUGAAAGCCCCGGGCUUAACCUGGGAAUGGCCGUUGAAACUGGCGAACUGGAGUGUGGCAGAGGGGGGUGGAAUUCCGCGUGCAGCAGUGAAAUGCGUAGAGAUGCGGAGGAACACCGAUGGCGAAGGCAGCCCCCUGGGCUAACACUGACGCUCAGGCACGAAAGCGUGGGGAGCAAACAGG
rnacentral:rRNA from 1 species